GAUGAACGCUGGCGGCGUGCCUAAUACAUGCAAGUCGAGCGAACAGACGAGGAGCUUGCUCCUCUGACGUUAGCGGCGGACGGGUGAGUAACACGUGGAUAACCUACCUAUAAGACUGGGAUAACUUCGGGAAACCGGAGCUAAUACCAGAUAAUAUAUUGAACCGCAUGGUUCAAUAGUUAAAGACGGUUUUGCUGUCACUUAUAGAUGGAUCCGCGCUGCAUUAGCUGGUUGGUAAGGUAACGGCUUACCAAGGCAACGAUGCGUAGCCGACCUGAGAGGGUGAUCGGCCACACUGGAACUGAGACACGGUCCAGACUCCUACGGGCGGCAGCAGUAGGGAAUCUUCCGCAAUGGGCGAAAUCUUGCCGGAGCAACGCCGCGUGAGUGAUGAAGGUCUUCGGAUCGUAAAACUCUGUUAUUAGGGAAGACCAAAUGUGUAAGUAACUAUGCACGUCUUGACGGUACCUACACAGAAAGCAACGGCUAACUACGUG
rnacentral:rRNA from 1 species